GACGAACGCUGGCGGCGUGCUUAACACAUGCCAGUCGAACGGAAAGGCCCUGCUUUUGUGGGGUGCUCGAGUGGCGAACGGGUGAGUAACACGUGAGUAACCUGCCCUUGACUUUGGGAUAACUUCAGGAAACUGGGGCUAAUACCGGAUAGGAGCUCCUGCUGCAUGGGGGGGGUUGGAAAGUUUCGGCGGUUGGGGAUGGACUCGCGGCUUAUCAGCUUGUUGGUGGGGUAGUGGCUUACCAAGGCUUUGACGGGUAGCCGGCCUGAGAGGGUGACCGGCCACAUUGGGACUGAGGUACGGCCCAGACUCCUACGGGAGGCAGCAGUGGGGAGUCUUGCACAAUGGGCGGAAGCCUGAUGCAGCAGCGCCGCGUGCGGGAUGACGGCCUUCGGGUUAUAAACCGCUUUCGCCUGUGACGAAGCGUGAGUGACGGUAAUGGGUAAAGAAGCACCGGCUAACUACGUG
rnacentral:rRNA from 1 species